rnacentral:rRNA from 1 species
UACAGAGGUGGCAAGCGUUGUUCGGAAUUACUGGGCGUAAAGGGCGCGUAGGCGGCCUUCUAAGUCGGACGUGAAAGCCCCAGGCUUAACCUGGGAACUGCGUCCGAUACUGGGAGGCUUGGAUUCGGGAGAGGGAUGUGGAAUUCCAGGUGUAGCGGUGAAAUGCGUAGAUAUCGGGAGGAACACCUGAGGCGAAGGCGGGCUACUGGGCUGAUACUGACGCUGAUGCGCGAAAGCCAGGGGAGCGAACGGG